rnacentral:misc_RNA from 1 species
GCAAACUUGGUCAUUUAGAGGAAGUAAAAGUCGUAACAAGGUCUCCGUUGGUGAACCAGCGGAGGGAUCAUUAUAGAGUUGUAAAACUCCCUAAACCCACUGUGAACGUACCUAUAUUUGUUCCUUCGGCAGGCGGCCCCUGGGGGGGCUUCGCUGUCGAUCGGCGCCUGCCGAAGGACAAACAAAACUCUGCUGCUUCAGUGUUACCUCUGAGCAACUAAAACAAAUAAGUCACAACUUUCAACAACGGAUCUCUUGGUUCUGGCAUCGAUGAAGAACGCAGC